rnacentral:lncRNA from 1 species
GUUUGUUCACGUGGUGGAAUCCCAAAAGAAGGAGUGGAAGCAUGCAAUGCUUCUUGAGACUUAGACUGAGAACCAGUACACUAUAACUUUCAUCACAUCCUGCUGGCCAAAGCAAAUCCAAAUUCAAGAGGAUCAUGGCGGCCACUGUGUUGGAGAUAGACUAAAAAGGGACAGAGCCAGAAGCAAGGGACCAGCUGGGAGGCCACUCCAACUACACAGCGCCAGAGCCCAUGAAGCGAGGUCAGGUCCUGAUGCUGCUGUGGAUCGAUGGCCCUCGGACGCCCGCGUGAGGCUGCGGCGGCUCAGCAAUUUCCUGCCAUCACUUGCUGUGCACAAAUGAAAUCACUUCCAGUGACCUAAUGCAUGCUGCUGCCACCGAGAAAACUGAAAAAAGAGGUGAAGAGGGAGCCGCAGGAGAAGCCGGGGAGCACAGGUGCUCUCAGGCUGUGUCUCUAGGGUGCAGUGAGACUGGAAGGGCAUUUGCAACCCAGGAAGGCAGCUCGCUGUCCAGAAACACGCCUGCCUCCCUUUGCCCACUUGUGAAGUCAUCAGAAGCUACCUGAGAGCCGAGCAUGGGCUUCUGAGGGGUCUGCAAAGACCCUGAACUUGUCUGCAGGCUUUGGUGUGAGUGUGCAGGUUAUCUGGGAAGAUUUCCCAAAGAAUCUGUGCCCCUCAAAAGGUGGCAUUGCCUUAAAGAGCUGGCAGCUUCCCCUCCGGGUUCCCUGAAUAUCGCCAGAGUGAAUUAGCACUGGGAGCUCCGAGAUGUCCUUGCUGGCAGUGGCCAUGGGUGCUGGUCUAUCCACAGCCCCCUGAAGCCGAAGGUGGAAGGUCAGUCCAGCUGCCUUUCUGCUUCCCUGGACUCCCUGCUGUAGCCCCAGCCCUGGAGCCAGCGUGACCCUGGGGGAAGCCUGCCUCUCACUCCAGAGGCAACCUGGGCCCCGCACAACCAGGGCAGCCCUCCCCCCGAGGGAAGAGAAGUGGGGGAAGGGAAGCCACACUCUGGGAUCAGGCGCAGUGCCCAUCACUUCAGAGCAUCCAUUUACUUCUUACAACACCUGCGACAUGGACCUCAUUGUCCCCAUCUUCGAAAGGGUGAAGCUAAGGCCUGGAGACAUUCACUUGCUCAAGAUUACACUGAGACCUCUCUGUUGGGUCAGGUGUGCAGGCCUGCUGUCCCCAGAGCCAAGGCUUUUCAGCCCCAGGACACAAGAGAUCGUUCGGGGGGGCGGGGGGGGGGCAGUCUGCGAACCAUUGUGUUAUAGCUGUGGUUCCCCCACAGCAGUGUUUGCUCCCACGGUCCAGCAUUUGCACGUCCUGUUUCCACUGUCUGCGGGUCCCGCUCAGCCACUGUGGACUUGAGAAAAAAUCCACUCGCCUGUCAGCCCUCAGCUCAGCUUUCUUCUGUGCUCGGAAACCCUCUCUGCCCUCCCCCAGCCUCCCCCCCGCCCCCGCAGCCGAUUUCAGUCCUUUCUUCUCAGCUCCCAAAGCACAACACAGACUUUUAUUAAAGGACACAACACGGAGUUCCCGUCGUGGCGCAGUGGUUAGCGAAUCCGACUAGGAACCAUGAGGUUGCAGGUUCGGUCCCUGCCCUUGCUCAGUGGGUUGACGAUCCGGCGUUGCCGUGAGCUGUGGUGUAGGUUGCAGACGCGGCUCGGAUCCAGCGUUGCUGUGGCUCUGGUGUAGGCCGGUGGCUGCAGGUCCGAUUGGCCCCCUAGCCUGUUAACCUCCAUAUGCCGCGGGAGCGGCACAAAGAAAUAACAAAAAGACAAAAAAAAAAAAAAAAAAAAAAAAAAAAAAAG